rnacentral:rRNA from 1 species
GACGAACGCUGGCGGCGUGCUUAACACAUGCAAGUCGAACGAGAAAGGCUCUUCGGAGCUGAGUACAGUGGCGAACGGGUGAGUAACACGUGGGCAACCUGCCCCAUGGAGCGGGACAACCCGGGGAAACCCGGGCUAAUACCGCAGGAUUCGUACGGUCAUAAGUCCGUACGGGAAAUGGUAGCUUCGGCCCCCGCCACGGGAUGGGCCCGCGGCGCAUUGGCUUGUUGGGGAGGUAACGGAUCACCAAGGCGACGAUGCGUAGCUGGUCUGAGAGGCCGAUCAGCCACACUGGGACUGAGACACGGCCCAGACUCCUACGGGAGGCAGCAGUGGGGAAUCUUGCGCAAUGGGCGGAAGCCUGACGCAGCAACGCCGCGUGUGGGAAGACGGCCUUCGGGUUGUAAACCACUUUCAGGGGGGACGAAGCUUCCGAGGUUAAUAGCCUACGGGGUGACGGUACCCCCAGAAGAAGCCCCGGCUAACUACGUGCCAGCAGCCGCCGUAACAC